AGACCCGAAACCCGGUGAUCUAGCCAUGGGCAGGUUGAAGGUUGGGUAACACUAACUGGAGGACCGAACCGACUAAUGUUGAAAAAUUAGCGGAUGACCUGUGGCUGGGGGUGAAAGGCCAAUCAAACCGGGAGAUAGCUGGUUCUCCCCGAAAGCUAUUUAGGUAGCGCCUCGUGAAUUCAUCUCCGGGGGUAGAGCACUGUUUCGGCUAGGGGGCCAUCCCGGCUUACCAACCCGAUGCAAACUGCGAAUACCGGAGAAUGUUAUCACGGGAGACACACGGCGGGUGCUAACGUCCGUCGUGAAGAGGGAAACAACCCAGACCGCCAGCUAAGGUCCCAAAGUCAUGGUUAAGUGGGAAACGAUGUGGGAAGGCCCAGACAGCCAGGAUGUUGGCUUAGAAGCAGCCAUCAUUUAAAGAAAGCGUAAUAGCUCACUGGUCGAGUCGGCCUGCGCGGAAGAUGUAACGGGGCUAAACCAUGCACCGAAGCUGCGGCAGCGAACGUAUCACCCAAGACAACUUUACGGAGUUGACGAUUGACGGAGCGAAGCGACGUCAAAGCGUUCAUUAAAGUCGAGUUGGCUUAGGGAUACGUUCGUUGGGUAGGGGAGCGUUCUGUAAGCCUGUGAAGGUGUGUCGUGAGGCAUGCUGGAGGUAUCAGAAGUGCGAAUGCUGACAUAAGUAACGAUAAAGCGGGUGAAAAGCCCGCUCGCCGGAAGACCAAGGGUUCCUGUCCAACGUUAAUCGGGGCAGGGUGAGUCGACCCCUAAGGCGAGGCCGAAAGGCGUAGUCGAUGGGAAACGGGUUAAUAUUCCCGUACUUGGUGUUACUGCGAAGGGGGGACGGAGAAGGCUAUGUUGGCCGGGCGACGGUUGUCCCGGUUUAAGGGUGUAGGUGUGUGUUCCAGGUAAAUCCGGUUCACUUUAACACUGAGGCGUGACGACGAGGCACUACGGUGCUGAAGCAACAAAUGCCCUGCUUCCAGGAAAAGCCUCUAAGCAUCAGGUAACACGAAAUCGUACCCCAAACCGACACAGGUGGUCAGGUAGAGAAUACCAAGGCGCUUGAGAGAACUCGGGUGAAGGAACUAGGCAAAAUGGUGCCGUAACUUCGGGAGAAGGCACGCUGACACGUAGGUGAAGUGAUUUACUCAUGGAGCUGAAGUCAGUCGAAGAUACCAGCUGGCUGCAACUGUUUAUUAAAAACACAGCACUGUGCAAACACGAGAGUGGACGUAUACGGUGUGACGCCUGCCCGGUGCCGGAAGGUUAAUUGAUGGGGUCAGCGUAAGCGAAGCUCCUGAUCGAAGCCCCGGUAAACGGCGGCCGUAACUAUAACGGUCCUAAGGUAGCGAAAUUCCUUGUCGGGUAAGUUCCGACCUGCACGAAUGGCGUAAUGAUGGCCAGGCUGUCUCCACCCGAGACUCAGUGAAAUUGAACUCGCUGUGAAGAUGCAGUGUACCCGCGGCAAGACGGAAAGACCCCGUGAACCUUUACUAUAGCUUGACACUGAACAUUGAGCCUUGAUGUGUAGGAUAGGUGGGAGGCUUUGAAGUGUGGACGCCAGUCUGCAUGGAGCCGACCUUGAAAUACCACCCUUUAAUGUUUGAUGUUCUAACGUGGACCCGUAAUCCGGGUUGCGGACAGUGUCUGGUGGGUAGUUUGACUGGGGCGGUCUCCUCCUAAAGAGUAACGGAGGAGCACGAAGGUUGGCUAAUCCUGGUCGGACAUCAGGAGGUUAGUGCAAUGGCAUAAGCCAGCUUGACUGCGAGCGUGACGGCGCGAGCAGGUGCGAAAGCAGGUCAUAGUGAUCCGGUGGUUCUGAAUGGAAGGGCCAUCGCUCAACGGAUAAAAGGUACUCCGGGGAUAACAGGCUGAUACCGCCCAAGAGUUCAUAUCGACGGCGGUGUUUGGCACCUCGAUGUCGGCUCAUCACAUCCUGGGGCUGAAGUAGGUCCCAAGGGUAUGGCUGUUCGCCAUUUAAAGUGGUACGCGAGCUGGGUUUAGAACGUCGUGAGACAGUUCGGUCCCUAUCUGCCGUGGGCGCUGGAGAACUGAGGGGGGCUGCUCCUAGUACGAGAGGACCGGAGUGGACGCAUCACUGGUGUUCGGGUUGUCAUGCCAAUGGCACUGCCCGGUAGCUAAAUGCGGAAGAGAUAAGUGCUGAAAGCAUCUAAGCACGAAACUUGCCCCGAGAUGAGUUCUCCCUGAGACUUAGAGUCUCCUGAAGG
rnacentral:rRNA from 1 species